UACAAAUGACAGAAUAUUUAUUACCAAUACCUUUAAAAAAAGAUUACAUCUGCUAGAUCACUGAUAAAUAUCAUUUACACCGGGGAGAAAACUACAUAGGCUUUUUUUUUUUUUGUUUUGUUUCAUUUUCUGGUUUUUGUGGUUUUUUUGUUUUUGUUUUUUACAUAGAAGUAACCAUAUCAAACUAAGAAAGGAACACAGCUUGAAAUACUGACAAUAUUUCUCUGGUUAACACCCCUGACUUUUACACAAGUGGAAUCCCGAUUAUGAGUUACUGAAUAAAUAUAUUGAGAAGGUUUAAAAGUUAACUUGGAUUGUUUUGUAAGCAAAAAAGACAAGUUACAGGCAAAUUCAAGCUAUCAGGAAAAAUAAUAAUAAUAAACCACUGCAGCUCAUUUCAACUUGAAAAGUUUUAUAGAAAAUUCCAGCCUUUUUACUAGCAUUAUGCCGUCUGUGUGAACUUACAAAAAACCCCAUAGUAAUAAACAUUUCCUUUCUAAAGAAGAAUUAUUUUGCUGUGGAUGCUGUCAUUUCCCAGUGUGAUUCUACUAAGACCUUGGACUUUUAUGGAGAGUUUCUAAAGGAACAGAAACUUCAUAGCACACAACUAUUGUGGGACCAUACACCCAAAGAGACCUUGAAACUUAACAUGAAAAAAAUCCUUCUUGAGAAAGCUAUAUGAGCAAUGAGAAACAUUUUUCAGAUUCAGUUAAUCACCUAGAUCUAAGUGCAAGUACGUAAGCCAAUUUAAGAUUGCAACUGAAUUAUGAAGAAUUAUGAGUCGCAUUUAAAAUGUACAUGGAAAAGAAACAUAGAAAACUGGUGUUCAUUUUAAGUUUUAGAGUUGCCAUAGUUAUGUUAUAAUUUCCUUGGUGAACUGUCCAGAGUAACAUCACCAAUUUAGCUGGAAUUACACUCAACUUUCACCAAACUAGCUAGGGUCAGAUUCUUGUCCUUCAUCUGCUGUAAUGACUAGAUUGAUGCUACUAGAGGAAGAGAUUGCAGCAAAGUAACAACAAUUUUAACAUCUGAUUUAAAUGUUAUUUAUGAUAAAGAUAAAGCUACUUCAAUACAGGAAAAUGAAAUCCCACUAUGUGUUGUUAAAUUAUUGGCUAUAUGUACGAUAGUCCACAAACAACCAAAAAUUCUAUGUAAUUUUUCAAGAUCGUAGCUGUUCUUGACAGUUACCUAAAUCUGUCUUGGUUAGUCACCUGUUCCAAAGUGAAAAAAAUAAUCUGCAUGUUAAAAGCACUUGAUAUAACGUAAGAAUCAUCAUAACGGCCAUUUAAAUACAGCUGCCUGGAGUUAA